UACAGAGGUCUCAAGCGUUGUUCGGAUUCAUUGGGCGUAAAGGGGUGCGUAGGUGGCGCCGUAAGUCAGGUGUGAAAUUUCGGAGCUUAACUCCGAAACUGCAUUUGAUACUGCGGUGCUUGAGGACUGGAGAGGAGACUGGAAUUCACGGUGUAGCAGUGAAAUGCGUAGAUAUCGUGAGGAAGACCAGUGGCGAAGGCGGGUCUCUGGACAGUUCCUGACACUGAGGCACGGAAGGCUAGGGGAGCAAACGGG
rnacentral:rRNA from 1 species